GGGACAGGUACAACUAGACGUCAUAGGACGAAUAGGAAGACUCACGUUUAUCGACACCAACGGAGAGGAGGAAAACUUCAACCAGACGUCAUAGGACAAGAGGUAGACUCACGUUUAUCGACACCAACGGAGAGGAGGAAAACUCAGCCAGACGUCAUAGGACGAAAGGGAGACUCACGUUUAUCGACACCAACGGAGAGGAGGAAAACUUCAACCAGACGUCAUAGGACGAGAGGUAGACUCACGUUUAUCGACACCAACGGAGAGGAGGAAAACU
rnacentral:lncRNA from 1 species